rnacentral:tRNA from 1 species
UGGGCUCCAGUACCUCUUGGUGCAAUUCCAAGUAAAAGCU